rnacentral:rRNA from 1 species
CAGCCGUAAACUAUGCGCGUUAGGUGUAUCGGUGACCACGAGUCACCGAGGUGCCGAAGGGAAACCGUGAAACGCACCACCUGGGAAGUACGGUCGCAAGGCUGAAACUUAAAGGAAUUGGCGGGGGAGCACCACAACAGGUGGAGCCUGCGGUUUAAUUGGAUUCAACGCCGGACAUCUCACCGGAUAAGACAGCUGAAUGAUUGCCGGGCUGAAGACUCUGCAUGACUAGCUGAGAGGAGGUGCAUGGCGUAGACGUCU